ACAUGAAUUCCUGAGGCAUAUUUCACUAACAUCAGACAGUGCUAUACUAGAGCAGAGGAAAUCCAGAUGGGUUGUUUCCAUCUGCCCUGGGGCCUGUCUCUACAAUGCUGCCACACUC
rnacentral:snoRNA from 1 species